GCCAAGUUGAAGAGUAGUGGUGACCAUGUGCUCAUACUAAUUUUUAUUAAAGUUUAUGAAUGUGUCCGAAGUAGCUUAGGUUUAGCACUUGAAAUAGAUGCUAUGAAAGGCUUCUUUGAUAUUGAGACUGAUAAGUGAGGGUGAAGCAUAGUUCACCCAUCCACUGUAGCCGGUGUUCUACAGGCACUGGUAACCAUCUGGCAUCCCACCACAAAACCCAGUUGAUGAGUUGUGAGUAUCC